GAGAAGGUAGCAUAAGUGUAGUGUGUCUUGUUUACACCAAGGUUGUGGUUUCUUACCUCUUCUUU
rnacentral:tRNA from 1 species